AUACGUAGGGGGCGAGCGUUGUCCGGAAUGAUUGGGCGUAAAGGGCGCGUAGGCGGCCCGGUAAGUCUGGAGUGAAAGUCCUGUUUUUAAGAUGGGAAUUGCUUUGGAUACUGUCGGGCUUGAGUGCAGGAGAGGUAAGUGGAAUUCCCAGUGUAGCGGUGAAAUGCGUAGAGAUUGGGAGGAACACCAGUGGCGAAGGCGACUUACUGGACUGUAACUGACGCUGAGGCGCGAAAGUGUGGGGAGCAAACAGGAUUAGAUACCCUGGUAGUCCACACUGUAAACGAUGAAUGCUAGGUGUAGGGGGUAUCGACCCCUUCUGUGCCGCAGUCAACACAAUAAGCAUUCCGCCUGGGGAGUACGGCCGCAAGGUUGAAACUCAAAUGAAUUGGCGGGG
rnacentral:rRNA from 1 species